rnacentral:misc_RNA from 1 species
AACUGAUACUACCUGCGGGAACCUGCGGAGGGAUCAUUACCGAGUCUUUGCACUCAAACAACCCUUCUGUGGACCUGAAGAAAACCGUUGCCUCGGCGGGCGGCCCCUACCUGUGGGCCGGACAGUUCGGCCGCCUUUAUUUUUAAGGCGCGCCGGCGCCAGCCGCUGGCCCCAAACCAAAACUCUAGUAACUAUUACCUUCUGAGUUUUAAAGCAAGAAAUAAGUCAAAACUUUUAACA